ACGCGAAGAACCUUACCUGGGUUUGAAGAUCAGUCGACCGGGGGCGAAAUCCCCCUUUCCCGCAAGGGACGGCUGGUUAGGUGCUGCAUGGCUGUCGUCAGCUCGUGUCGUGAGAUGUUGGGUUAAGUCCCGCAACGAGCGCAACCCUUGCUGCUAGUUGCCAACGGUUCGGCCGGGCACUCUAGUGGGACUGCCGGUGACAAACCGGAGGAAGGUGGGGAUGACGUCAAGUCCUCAUGGCCUUUAUGUCCAGGGCUACACACGUGCUACAAUGGCCGGUACAAAGUGACGCGAUAGCGCAAGCUGGAGCAAAUCACAAAAAAGCCGGUCUCAGUUCGGAUUGGGGUCUGCAACUCGACCCCAUGAAGCUGGAAUCGCUAGUAAUCGCGGAUCAGCACGCCGCGGUGAAUACGUUCCCGGGCCUUGUA
rnacentral:rRNA from 1 species